rnacentral:rRNA from 1 species
UGAAUAUACCGGUUCUCGUUAGAUCACCGAAGUCAAGCAUCAUUGAGCGCGGUCAGUACUUGGGUGGGUGACCACCUGGGAACACCGCGUGCCGUU